UACGUAGGGUGCGAGCGUUGUCCGGAAUUAUUGGGCGUAAAGAGCUUGUAGGCGGUUUGUCGCGUCUGCUGUGAAAAUCCGGGGCUCAACCCCGGACUUGCAGUGGGUACGGGCAGACUAGAGUGUGGUAGGGGAGACUGGAAUUCCUGGUGUAGCGGUGAAAUGCGCAGAUAUCAGGAGGAACACCGAUGGCGAAGGCAGGUCUCUGGGCCACUACUGACGCUGAGAAGCGAAAGCAUGGGGAGC
rnacentral:rRNA from 1 species